rnacentral:rRNA from 1 species
UUACUGAAGCAAUGUAUCAUUGAAUUGACCUAAUUCGAAAAUACAACUUUCAACAACGGAUCUCUUGGCUCUCGCAUCGAUGAAGAACGCAGCGAAAUGCGAUACGUAAUGUGAAUUGCAGAAUUCAGUGAAUCAUCGAAUCUUUGAACGCACAUUGCGCUCUCUGGUAUUCCGGAGAGCAUGCUUGUUUGAGUAUCAGUAAAACACCCUCAGUUCUCUCGUUUUUCGAGGGAAUUGGACUUGAGCGAUCCCAACGGCGGUUUAAAAACCGCUGGCGGGUCGCUUGAAAUGCAGGUGCGGCUGGACACUUCUUCUGAGCUAUAAGCAUUACUUAUUUAGUCCCGUCAAACGGAUUAUUUCUAUUGCUGCAGCUAACAUAAAGGUUGAUUGUCCUGUGCCCGACUGAUGCAGGAAAACAAAGAGAAAUCUUUGUUCAACUCGAUCUCAAAUCAAGUAAGACUACCCGCUGAACUUAA